rnacentral:rRNA from 2 species
UACGGAGGGUGCAAGCGUUAAUCGGAAUUACUGGGCGUAAAGCGCACGCAGGCGGUUGAUUGAGUCAGAUGUGAAAUCCCCGGGCUUAACCCGGGAAUUGCAUCUGAUACUGGUCAGCUAGAGUCUUGUAGAGGGGGGUAGAAUUCCAUGUGUAGCGGUGAAAUGCGUAGAGAUGUGGAGGAAUACCGGUGGCGAAGGCGGCCCCCUGGACAAAGACUGACGCUCAGGUGCGAAAGCGUGGGGAGCAAACAGG